rnacentral:tRNA from 2 species
GGGGGGUUUCCCGAGCGGUCAAAGGGGACGGACUGUAAAUCCGUUGGCAACGCCUUCGCAGGUUCAAAUCCUGCACCCCCCA